CAUUCUCCACAUGAUCAAUACUUUUGCCCAUUUUUCCAGGGGUUUAAGCAAGACUGGGCUGUUUGGGGUCACUGCAAUGACAUUUAGUUAUGUGAUUUACUUCUAAAGAAAGCUUGGAGAGGUUCAUCUGCCUCGCUGGUGCUAGCAAUUACUGCAACAAUAUUUGAGAUGUUAGCUACUAGAAUCCAAAGGAAGAUUUUCAGUUGAGGAGUUCAAUAUUUGGGGUGUGCCUCUCUUUUCAGAAGGCCAAAAAAAUGGUCUCAUCCAUCAUUAUCUUGUCAUAAUCGUAUGAGAUUCGCUUCGAUAUCUGUCGCAUAUUGCUUCUUCCGUUUACAUCAUAAACGAAAAAGAAAGAAAGAGCACAACUUCCCCCCUUGCAUGAACGUGUUGUUUAUCUAUCUCUAUUCUCUAAUUCAGGUUCUUCGAUUGUUUUAUUUUCCUUUCACAGUAAAAGUGAUGGAUGGAUCUAAUCUGUCGGUGCAGUGGCAGCAGCAGUAUGACGUACCAUGCAAGUGCUUCCUAGACCUCAACAGAUGGUAUAGUUGAGAACAUAUUCUUAAGCUUGGUGUCCCUCCAUGGAAUGUCUCUACCGAAUUAACAACCAUGGAAUUACUGAGGGGUGAAGCAUGGUAGUCAAUUUUUUUAUCAUGAUAGAUGCAACAGUAUCUAAAGGAAUCGAGAGGGAAAUCGUUCUUUGUCAUGCACAUUUUCUAGAGGCAUUCUACCAAAAUGUUUGACUUGCGUGAAACAUGUUGUAAGGGCAAUUUAACUUUGGAACUGUUUUACCUUUGAAUUUUUUGCUGUUCAAGGUGGGGACCAAGACUUUAAGUGUGUGAAUUUUUUCUAUCAGUCGAGGGCAUUUAAUUUUUGGAACCAAUAAUUCCUACCGGAGCUUGGAUAAAUAUAACCGAUCUACUGCAUGAUUGAAAUAAAGCCCGCAAUAGGAAAAUAGUGGUAAAAUUCAUAUCCUUUAUUCUUAAUGUCAUUCACCAAUCCUUGCAUACCAAAGGUAAAAACCACCCAUCUCUAUCGACUGCGUCCUCUUCCUUCUGUUCUAUUUAUGAGGCAAAUGGUGACAUCUUGUUACAGCUCACCAAUCUGAAAAAACACCUCAAUCUCUCUUGAGAAGCCUAUCAUAAGCAAGUGUCGCGAAAGAGAUGCUUAGUUGCUGCAGGAGAAGCAGCAAUGGCGGUCGUGUUCUUGUGCUUCUAAGGUGGGAGGUGCACGAUGGAGAAGCAGGGCACGUGCAUUGCCAUCUCAAAGAAGUAGCUUUUGUUGGCUCUUCAUGUGCCCAUCUUUUCCAUCAUGGUCCUCCCACCUCAAUUCUCAGCCGUUACAUGUAAGCAAAGAUCGUAGCUCGCUCACUCUCUCGUAGCUUUGUAAGUAUUAUUCCUGCUGGACUUCUGAACAUCUUUGCAGUUCGGAGUUUUAUCACCAUAUACUAGAAAAGAUUAGCUGCGGCCAGUUUGGAAUCGGCUAGAUCGUUGAUCAGCAUGCUGUUGCAGUUGAAGAAGGCAAGAAAUUAGAACCCAAUUGUGUGUUUGUGGUUUACGAGGAAUGCCAAGAAGUGGAUAGGACAUCCCAAUCCAAGGAGCCUAAAGGGUCCGUGACAGAAGGGUUCUUCCUUGUCUUACACCUAUGAUGAAGGAGAAGCAUUUCUGAAGAUUACCCCUUCUCAAUCUGCAAGACAGUCAAUCGAACUAGUUUUUUAGCUCAAAUUUCUGGGAACUUGCAGCUUUCCAGCAUUAGAUUAGAUAUGGUUGUUAAUGGAUGCUAGGAAAAUUGCUAUUGUUGUUUAUCUUGUUCUCCUCAUUGUAUAUUAAUUACCAAAUUUUUCUCCUUUCAACAAUCAAAAUAUAGAAAUAUUCUAACUUUCUCCACUUCAGUUUCUAAAGUUGUAGUACUUUGAUGUUGAAUUCUAGCUUGGAUCCUUCGUGAUGCAGUGGUUGGUUGUUCGUCCUCAUCUCAAGUAACCAACAGUACCAACCUACCUGUAAGAGAGAAGCAAAACCAGCACCUAAUCUCCAGUAUCACGCCGCUGAACAGUGCUGUAAAGGCACUGCCCUCACAGGCAGUUGGUGGCUGAUUUUCUCCGACCAUCCAUGAUUAUCCUGCGAAUGAUUCCACAGGGUGAUUUGAGAUCUGGCUAUGGCCAUCAAAUGAGGAAAGACGCGAAAUGUGUUGCGCCCUUCUCCAUUGGUUACCUUCAGUUGCAGAAGAGACUGACAAAUGUUGUCCUUGAUGCUGAAUCAGGUUAGGAUCCAUGAAUAAAACCAUCGAUGCUUGUGAACAUAUCAUGGGGAUAGUUAUAUCUCUAGUGGAAAUUUCUCACAGUUUGGGAUAAAAUAUUGAAAUUUAGUGUUGAUGGUUGGAACUUAAUGAGUCUUAAUUUGUUCUAGAAAUGAAAAGAUCCCAAGUCCUUACCUUGAUCACAAAAUAAUGGCAUGACUCGGGGCUACAAAAUAAGGAUGGUUAUGAAUUAAGCAACAUGGAGUUUUCUUCUUCGCCCUUCCUUGGGGGUCCAUGGUGAGAUCAUUGUUCUUUCUUCGUAACUGCAAAAAGUGAGAGAGUUCUUUCCCGAAGAUAAACAUGCAGUAAUGCUCGGCAGCAAGACAUGUCCGUUUCCGACGGUGGGUCCAACGAAGAUCGGCAAGCCCUCGUCUUGUUUUGUUUGCUCUAAGCUACACAUUCCCUCUCCGUUUUGGCGGGAUAUAUGGUUUUUCGAGUCCGUCUGUGACUUGUAGGCAAUUGAUAGAUUCAUUCGUAUUGUUG